rnacentral:piRNA from 1 species
GAACAAGUGGGUACUCUGAGCCU